rnacentral:rRNA from 1 species
AGCAGUGGGGAAUAUUGCACAAUGGGCGAAAGCCUGAUGCAGCAACGCCGCGUGAGGGAUGACGGCCUUCGGGUUGUAAACCUCUUUUAGUACAGAAGAAGCUAGUUUACUGGUGACGGUAUGUGCAGAAAAAGCACCGGCUAACUACGUGCCAGCAGCCGCGGUAAUACGUAGGGUGCAAGCGUUGUCCGGAAUUAUUGGGCGUAAAGAGCUCGUAGGCGGUUUGUCGCGUCUGCUGUGAAAUCCGGAGGCUCAACCUCCGGCCUGCAGUGGGUACGGGCAGACUAGAGUGCGGUAGGGGAGAUUGGAAUUCCUGGUGUAGCGGUGGAAUGCGCAGAUAUCAGAGGAACACCGAUGGCGAAAGCAGAUCUCUGGGCCGUAACUGACGCUGAGG